AUCCUUUUGUGGUUCAUAAGUAUGAUGAUUGGGUUUUCACACUAUUUUGUGAGAUGUGCCCCCCUCUAAACCUUGUUAUGACCUCUACACAUUACCCAUCUGAUG